rnacentral:rRNA from 1 species
CCUACGGGCGGCAGCAGUGGGGAAUAUUGGGCAAUGGGCGAAAGCCUGACCCAGCAACGCCGCGUGAAGGAAGAAGGCUUUCGGGUUGUAAACUUCUUUUCUGAGGGACGAAGAAAGUGACGGUACCUCAGGAAUAAGCCACGGCUAACUACGUGCAAGCAGCCGCGGUAAUACGUAGGUGGCAAGCGUUAUCCGGAUUUAUUGGGUGUACAGGGCGUGUAGGCGGGAAAGUAAGUCAGAUGUGAAAUCUCAGGGCUCAACCCUGGGCGUGAAUUGGAAACUGUGUUGCUUGAGUGCUGGAGAGGCAAGCGGAAUUCCGUGUGUAGCGGUGAAAUGCGUAGAUAUACGGAGGAACACCAGUGGCGAAGGCGGAUUGCUGGACAGUAACUGACGCUGAGGCGCGAAAGCGUGGGGAGCAAACAGGAUUAGAUACCCGGGUAGUC